UGGCUUAAUCCCCAUGUGGUGCUCCAUCUU
rnacentral:piRNA from 1 species